rnacentral:rRNA from 1 species
UACGUAGGUGGCAAGCGUUGUCCGGAAUCACUGGGCGUAAAGCGCGCGCAGGCGGCGAUCUACGUCUGGGGUGAAAGCCCGGAGCUCAACUCCGGGACUGCCUUGGAUACGGGAUCGCUUGAGGAUUGGAGAGGCAAGGGGAAUUCCACGUGUAGCGGUGAAAUGCGUAGAUAUGUGGAGGAACACCUGUGGCGAAGGCGCCUUGCUGGCCAAUUUCUGGCGCUGAGGCGCGAAAGCGUGGGGAGCAAACAGG